rnacentral:rRNA from 1 species
AGGAAAGUAAAGAAGGGCGCAUGGCGGAUGCCUUGGCUCUCGGAGGCGAUGAAGGACGUGAUAAGCUGCGAUAAGCUUUGGGGAGGUGCAAAUGACCUUUGAUCCAGAGAUUUCCGAAUGGGACAACCCAAUAUCUUGAAGAGGUAUUAUCCAACGUUGUUGGAGGCUAACGCAGGGAACUGAAACAUCUUAGUACCUGCAGGAAAAGAAAAUAAACAAUGAUUCCCCCAGUAGUGGCGAGCGAACGGGGAACAGCCCAAACCAUCCAUGUUACGGCAUGGGUGGGGUUGUAGGACUACGCCGUUGCAUGAAGACAUCAGAGAAGAACUUUCUGGAAAGAAAGACCAUAGAGCAUGACAGUUGCGUAUUCGAAUGUUGUCGAAGCAUAGUAGUAUCCUGAGUAGCGCGGAGCACGAGGAAUUCUGCGUGAAUCUGCCGGGACCAUCCGGUAAGGCUAAAUACUCCCGAGAGACCGAUAGCGAACCAGUACCGUGAGGGAAAGGUGAAAAGCACUUCGAACAGAAGAGUGAAAUAGUUCCUGAAACCGUGCGCCUACAAGCGGUCGGAGCUCGUUAAUGAGUGACGGCGUGCCUUUUGCAUAAUGAACCUACGAGUUGCCUUUGCCGGCAAGGUUAAGUGUGACGACACACGUAUCCGAAGCGAAAGCGAGUCUGAAGAGGGCGUAUAGUCGGCAGUGGCAGACGCGAAACCAAGUGAUCUACCCUUGGCCAGGUUGAAGGCUGGGUAACACCAGCUGGAGGACCGCACCAAUAAGCGUUGAAAAGCUUCUGGAUGAGCUGAGGGUAGGGGUGAAAGGCUAAUCAAACUUGGAGAUAGCUCGUACUCCCCGAAAUGCAUUUAGGUGCAGCCUUGCGGGUUACUGAUGUGAGGUAGAGCGACUGAUAAGAUGCGAGGGCUUCACCGCCUAUCAAGUCUUGACAAACUCCGAAUGCGCAUCAGUUCUACCGCAGGAGUGAGGGCAUGGGUGCUAAGGUCCGUGCCCGAGAGGAGAAGAAUCCGGACCACCUGCUAAGGUCCCGAAAUGACAGCUAAGUUAAACUAACGAAGUCUGACUGCUAAGACAGCUAGGAUGUUGGCUUGGAAGCAGCCAUUCAUUUAAAGAGUGCGUAACAGCUCACUAGUCGAGGAGUCGGGCGUGGAUAAUAAUCGGGUAUCAAGUUGUCUACCGAAGCAGUGGGAUCAUUUAUAUGAUCGGUAGGGGAGCAUUCCAGUCAGCGUCGAAGGCGUACCGUGAGGUAUUCUGGAGCGUCUGGAAAAGCAAAUGUAGGUAUAAGUAACGAUAAAGGGGGCGGGAAACCCCCUCGCCGAAAGACUAAGGUUUCCUGAUCAACGCUAAUCGGAUCAGGGUCAGUCGGGUCCUAAGGCUCAGCCGAACGGCGAUGCCGAUGGCAGAAACGGUUAAUAUUCCGUUACUACCUUCAGGAGUGACGUGGAGACGCAGUAGUGACAGUGCCGCCAUCUGACGGAAUAGAUGGUUGAAGGGUGUAGGAGUCGAUCAUGGCAGGCAAAUCCACCAUGAGAUCCGAACCUGACAGUAUGCCGCGUCCUUCGGGACAAGGCAAUAGUGCGCGUAAGCAUGCUGCCGAGAAAAUCCGCUAAACUUAAUCCUGUAGGUACCCGUACCGCAAACGGACACACGUAGUCGGGAUGAAUAUUCUAAGGCGCUUGAGUGAUUCACGGUUAAGGAACUAGGCAAACUGACCCUGUAACUUCGGGAUAAAGGGUCCCUACCCUUUUAUGGGAGGGCGCAGAGAAUCGGUCCAGGCAACUGUUUAACAAAAACACAGGGCUGUGCCAAAUCGAAAGAUCCAGUAUACAGCCUGACACCUGCCCGGUGCUGGAAGGUUAAGAGGAGAUGUCAUCGAUAAGAGAAGCGUUGAAUUGAAGCCCCAGUAAACGGCGGCCGUAACUAUAACGGUCCUAAGGUAGCGAAAUUCCUUGUCGGGUAAGUUCCGACCUGCACGAAUGGUGUAAUGAUCUGGACGCUGUCUCAACCGUGAGCUCAGUGAAAUUGUAGUAUCGGUGAAGAUGCCGAUUACCCGCGAUGGGACGAAAAGACCCCGUGAACCUUUACUAUAGCUUAUCAUUGAAUCUGGGCACGUGAUGUGUAGGAUAGGUCGGAGGCUUUGAAGCAGGUACGCCAGUAUUUGUGGAGCCGCUGUUGAAAUACGACCCUUUAUUUGUUUGGAUUCUAACCCGUGG